GUCAGUUGGUUGGUUGGUCGGUCGGUCGGUCGGUCGGUCGGUCGGUCGGUCGGUCGGUCGGUUGGUUGGUUGGUUUGUUG
rnacentral:miRNA from 14 species